AAGAGACAGCAGUCGCCGCGGGAAUACGAAGGGUGCAAGCGUUACUCGGAAUUACUGGGCGUAAAGCGUGCGUAGGUGGUUGUUUAAGUCUGCUGUGAAAGCCCUGGGCUCAACCUGGGAAUUGCAGUGGAUACUGGGCGACUAGAGUAAGGUAGAGGAUAGUGGAAUUUCCGGUGUAGCAGUGAAAUGCGUAGAGAUCGGAAGGAACAUCUGUGGCGAAGGCGACUAUCUGGGCCAUUACUGACACUGAGGCACGAAAGCGUGGGGAGCAAACAGGAUUAGAUACCCCUGUAGUCCCUGUCUCUUAUAC
rnacentral:rRNA from 1 species